AUAGCGUAUAUUAAAGUUGUUGCAGUUAAAAAGCUCGUAGUUGAACUUCAGACCUGGCCGGACGGUCUGCCUAACGGUAUGUACUGUCUGGCUGGGCCUUACCUCUUGGUGAGCCGGCAUGCCCUUCACUGGGUGUGUCGGGGAACCAGGACUUUUACCUUGAGAAAAUUAGAGUGUUCAAAGCAGGCUUAUGCUCGAAUACAUUAGCAUGGAAUAAUAAAAUAGGACGUGCGGUUCUAUUUUGUUGGUUUCUAGAGUCGCCGUAAUGAUUAAUAGGGAUAGUUGGGGGCAUUAGUAUUCAGUUGCUAGAGGUGAAAUUCUUGGAUUUAUUAAAGACUAACUUCUG
rnacentral:rRNA from 1 species